rnacentral:rRNA from 1 species
CCUACGGGGGGCUGCAGUGGGGAAUAUUGGACAAUGGGGGCAACCCUGAUCCAGCCAUGCCGCGUGUGUGAAGAAGGCCCUCGGGUUGUAAAGCACUUUCAGUGAGGAAGAACGCCUGGUGGUUAAUACCCAUCAGGAAAGACAUCACUCACAGAAGAAGCACCGGCUAACUCCGUGCCAGCAGCCGCGGUAAUACGGAGGGUGCGAGCGUUAAUCGGAAUUACUGGGCGUAAAGCGCGCGUAGGUGGCUUGAUAAGCCGGUUGUGAAAGCCCCGGGCUCAACCUGGGAACGGCAUCCGGAACUGUCAAGCUAGAGUGCAGGAGAGGAAGGUAGAAUUCCCGGUGUAGCGGUGAAAUGCGUAGCGAUCGGGAGGAAUACCAGUGGCGAAGGCGGCCUUCUGGACUGACACUGACACUGAGGUGCGAAAGCGUGGGUAGCAGACAGGAUUAGAUACCCGGGUAGUC